rnacentral:rRNA from 1 species
CCUACGGGAGGCAGCAGUGGGGAAUAUUGGACAAUGGGCGAAAGCCUGAUCCAGCAAUGCCGCGUGAGUGAUGAAGGCCUUAGGGUUGUAAAGCUCUUUUACCAGGGAUGAUAAUGACAGUACCUGGAGAAUAAGCUCCGGCUAACUCCGUGCCAGCAGCCGCGGUAAUACGGAGGGAGCUAGCGUUGUUCGGAAUUACUGGGCGUAAAGCGUGCGUAGGCGGCUAUUCAAGUCAGAGGUGAAAGCCCGGGGCUCAACCCCGGAACGGCCUUUGAAACUAGGUAGCUAGAAUCUUGGAGAGGUUAGUGGAAUUCCGAGUGUAGAGGUGAAAUUCGUAGAUAUUCGGAAGAACACCAGUGGCGAAGGCGACUAACUGGACAAGUAUUGACGCUGAGGUACGAAAGCGUGGGGAGCAAACAGGAUUAGAUACCCUGGUAAGUCCACGCCGUAAACGAUGAUAACUAGCUGUCCGGGCACUUGGUGCUUGGGUGGCGCAGCUAACGCAUUAAGUUAUCCGCCUGGGGAGUACGGUCGCAAGAUUAAAACUCAAAGGAAUUGACGG